CACGUAGGCACCAAGCGUUGUCCGGAUUUAUUGGGCGUAAAGAGCUCGUAGGCGGUUCGGUAAGUCGGGUGUGAAAACUCUGGGCUCAACCCAGAGCCGCCACCCGAUACUGCUGUGACUCGAGUGCGGUAGGGGAGCGGGGAAUUCCUGGUGUAGCGGUGAAAUGCGCAGAUAUCGGGAGGAACACCAGUGGCGAAGGCGGCCAUCUGGCUCAACAUUGACGCUGAGGCACGAAAGCGUGGGGAGCAAACAGG
rnacentral:rRNA from 1 species